rnacentral:lncRNA from 10 species
GCCCGGCUAAUUUUUGAUCAUGGAAUUUUAAGCUGGUCAAGAAAAAGAGAGGAAGUUGAUGAAUAGUGAAAAAAAUUGUGAGCUCAAGAUCGUGAAUAUCUGAACAACUAUGGUACUCCGGAGUGCAAGAAUAUGUGAACUGCAAAAUAAAAUUACUGGGUCAAAUAAUAAGAUGAACAAUUGGAGAUCAUAGAUGUGAUAUAAUUUCUGAUAAUAAUGGUUUUAUUAGAUAUAAUGAUUAAGUGUUUAUGGCAUAGAAACUAAUGUAACACACGGUUACUUAUUGUCCCCUUAUUUCUUUUGAUAAUAAGCCCUCCACUUUUCUUCAGAACACAUGGAAGCAAAGCUAAAAACCUAUGCUCUUCAGCAUCCUUUAUGUCAUCCUUUGAUCUUGAGAAUGAUUUGUGCAAGGUACAAUGAGUAGAAUUUAUGUGGACAAUUUCAAAGUAAUGUCUUAUAAAAAGAAAACUCUCUGCCCUCUAUGUACUAAGUUUCUCCUUCACUAUGGACUAGUAUGGGGACAAGGUGCUAGCGAUUAAGCUUUGACCAUGCCAAGUAGGGCAAAACCUAAGGCAUGAGAGGACAAAAUUUAAAGAAAUUUGGGUUCUCAUAUGGUAUUGCAUAACUGAGCCAUAGUGUCAGCUGUAACUCUUAUAUGGAGCAAAAAGCUUCAAACUUUUUUGAGCUGUUGUAUAGUAUGGAGGAAUGAGGCAGCUUACUCACUCAGGAUUUACCUUUUGCAAUGAAAGUGGCAUCUUGAUCAGAUUAAUGGAUUAGCCAAAAAAAAAAGAAAAAAAAAAAGAAGGAGAAGAAAAAUAAGAAAGAAAAGAAAGGGACAUCUCGAGGUAGCAGUCUGAUGGGGUCUUGCAUAGUAAAGUCAGCCUAAGAACACUCACUCAGUCCUACUCUGCAUGAUCCAUUCAAUGGCUACUUAUUCCUUGCUCUUGUGGUCCUUCCAAUAUUACAGGUGUCAAGAGUAGUAAUUAUAUGUUUGCCUGUUUGUACAGUGAUGUUGUAUGCCAUUCAGGGGCAGAGACCCUGCUUGUUUUUCAUCUUUGUAACCUCAAUGUCUAGCAAAUGAAAAGAGUGAUUCAAUAUAUGUUUAAGUGCCAGAAAUAACAUAAAAUUGUGCUAAUUGUCAAAAUAAACGUGAAUGAGACACUUUCUAUCCUCACAGACUUUACAGUGUAACUGCAAAACCAUGAGUAAGGGCAGCCAGGAAGUGGUGUAGAAGUCCAGCUCAGAAAAAGGUUUAUAAUUAUGUAUGAAUAAAAAAUGAAGCAGCUAUUAAUACUGAGGAACCAUGGGAUCCAUACUCACAUCCCAUUCAUUGCCUAAUGUUGUGGUUUCCCAUGACAUCGCACAUGCAGUAUAUCACUCCCAGUUGUGUUUCCCCUAUUCAGAUGAUGCUUGCACCAUCCCACUUUCUUCCAAAAGAACUUGGCAAUUACAUUGGAUU